GACAACCUCCCAAGCCAUCAAAUGAAUGCCGCUCCUACCAUCCCAUCUGCCCCACAUAAAAUUUCUAAAUAGCUGCUCCAUAGACCUCAGUAGGGACACCGAAACCUGUGAGCUCGCCAAUAAGUACACUAGAAUCGAACUCGAAACCGACCGCACCAGAAUGAUACGCCCCAUCAUGGAUAGAGUGUCCACCUGUCAUUCCUCCAGUCUAUGUCUAAUGCUCAACUCAACCUUGGAGCAGUCACUGCGCCAGAGACGACGACCUGUAAUGGGCACCCCCAGGUACUGCAUCAUACCGUCCUGCUCACCCACACCCAGAAUCUCACUAAUGGAAGUCUUGAUCUGUCGCUGGGUC
rnacentral:lncRNA from 1 species